UUGAAACACCAGUUCCCAUAUGAUCAACAAAGUUAAGCAAUGUUGAGCCUGGUCAGUACCUAGAUGGGUGAUUGCUUGGGAAUACCAGGUGCUGUAAG
rnacentral:rRNA from 1 species